CUGAUAAUAUUGAAUGUAACGAUUUUGUCCGUUUUAACCUGUGUAUGCAUAUUUAUGUAUAAUUAUAUGAUAUCAGUAGCAUAGAAAAUUGACAGAUUGGCAAUUCUAUUUACUUACUGCUUACAAAUCACGGACCGUUAAAACCAACAAAAGAUUGAUCAGUCGUAAAACAAGCCAUUAAAUAUUGAUAUGUGGGAAUUAGUUAGGAAGAAUCGGACUUUAGAGCAAAAGGCGAAUAAUUAUCAUGUAUUAUAUGAUACAAUAACGGAUUAAAGAACUGCAGAGAUGAUGUACACAUUACUUGGCUAAAAUGGGCGACACACCGUCACGACCGUCAAGUCGCCCGCAAUAUAUGAAUACAGUUCAGUAUCCAAGACAAGGACAAAGUGAACCGUAUAUGCACCAGUUGAACUAUCAGCCGGAAAUGGGCAGACCAGUCAGUACCGUCAAACCUGUUUACGCAGAAAUUUCAGACGACAAUAAAGAAGUGCAAUCUACGACCUCAGAUACUUUCCCACCAAAACCUUUGCCGCGAAAAUGAGAUGGAUGCGAAGUUUAAAUAGUUUAGAGUUUGAGGCUGGCGACAACAUGCCCAGCUGUAGCUCAGCUCUGUCUCAAGCAAGAUUUUAGUUACAUGAAACCUCAAUUACUUUUCCGUCAAAAACUUUGCCGAGAAACUGAUAUUAUAUAUGAAUGUAUAGAAUUUAGAUUAAAGUCGCUGGCGACAACAUACGUAUA